rnacentral:lncRNA from 1 species
UUUUUUUGUUUGGUUGAUUUGGUUUGGUUUGGUUUCGAACACUUUUUGAUCUUACGCAUGACAAGGUUGAAAGUUGCCACUCUGGGACCCUACACCUAUUUUCUUCAGAAGCAUCCCUGAAGUUUUUGUUUGUUUAGGUGUUUUCUUCAGCUUUCUCCUCUUCCUCCUCCUCCUCGUUUUUCUCCUCUUCCUUUUCUUCCUUCUGAUGCCAUUAUUCCCACACAGUGUAAAGAUUCAAAAGUUCUAGACCUUUACCCCCAACAGCACUUUUCUGUGCAUGACUAAUCCCCAGAGGAGUCCUUUCUAGUUGCUACUGAAUGGCAGGCAGAAUCCAUAACCACAGAGGUACAUACCUUCCAAGGACCAGUAGACUUGAAGGCGGUACCAAUGGGAGUUGGUUGUCUGGUGUCAAGAUGAGCACUGGACACAGUGUUAUCAUAGAGUUAUGGUUAGGUCAAGGUUGUAGCCUUUUUUGUAUCCUGCAUCUUCGUUCCACAUAGUCAAAAAGGAAACAGGAAAGGAGCCACAUUGAAUCAUUCCAAGACUCUGGGUUUGUGCUUGCCUGCAUUGAUUAUUGGGAGGAAGUCAUUUCAAAUGGGAGGUCAGAGAAAGGCUUGGGCUCCUCUUGCUAUGAGUCCCACAGUGCGAUUACUUUCGUAUGCAGUAGGUUGAUAGAAACAGUGAGGUCACUUCCUGACCUGGGAAUCUGGUCACCAAAAGAUGGGGAUUUUCCCUUCGGUUGCAGUUUCUUCAUAAUAGAUAUGUAAAUAACGGAGCCUUGGACACUGACGGGUCUCUAGAACUCUCAGCUAGCCAAAAAGAUACUAAUUUUCUCAAAUCAAGUUACAUACACACAAACAAGAAAAAAGCAAAAUGUCAGAAUCCCAGAAUAAAAUCAUUUCCAGAAUGAAACUGCAUGUGUGAAUUAAGGGCAGAGAAUUCCUCGCCAGUUAACCCAAUGACUCUCCGAUUCUUACCAUCAGGAUAAAACUGAAGGACAAAGGAUGCCUUUUGGGUUUUUUAAUUUUUUUAAUAUUGCACUUUAUAGUAUUUCAUAAGAGACGAUUGUCUUAAUUAAAGCCAUAAAAUACCAAUAAUGCAUAUAUUCAGGGCUUCUGGAUAUAGUCAAUAAACAGUCCACGGGUCAUUCUGUGUGUUGUUCGUUGUAAAAUGAAGUUUAUCUGUUCUGUUUUUUAUUACUUAAACUACUAUUCUAGACAAUCCUAAAAAAUUGUAGGUGUGUAUUUUAAGCAAACUUUGAAAAUCAAAGAAAUUAUUCCUUUCAUGGAAGAAUUCUUCAUUUUCAAAGCAACUCAUUGCAUGGUUUCUUUAAGUAGCAAGUUCCACUAUUGCACUGAAAAUAUUUCCUUUUACAGACCCUAAGAUUAUUUUUCAGGAAUCCAUUUGCUAUGUUAAGCAAGAUUCGCCCACGUGGAGAUUGAAAUAGAUGAUUAGCAAACAUGCCUGGAAAAAUUAGGAUGUGCUUAUGUUCUUAUAUAAAUAUAUGAUGGGUCUAAGAAGUUCCCUUAUAAAAAUGGCAAGCAGAUAUACAACCUGUCGAUAAUAUCUUAUACCUAUAUUUGCAUACGUCCCUGGAAGGACAAGCAAAAACAACAGACUUCAUGGUGUGCUGGGUGGUCAGUUUCCUUUUCUGUCAAAACAUGGUUUCUGACUGGGGGUGGUGAGUUGUCCACGUAUAGAUAUGGACAGAAGUUCUCGAGAUUCAAACCCUUCAUAUUUCACUUUGUAAUGCAAUCAGAGUGAAGGCUGGGAUGAUGACUAAGGGGCACAUGAGAGCCUAGAACAAUCCACACAGGAGGGUAGCAAAGUCACCUGCAUAAGCCCCAGUAUUAAACAGAACAACCCCAUCAAUAGUCUUAGGCUUAAACAGACAACUUGCCCCAGAGAAAAGUAUCUGAAUGCAGAGUCAGUGGCACUCCUCUAUCACGGGCUAUGUGGAGGCCCAAGGCUCUCAAAGAGUCUGAUGGAGUCUUGCCCAUCAAGAAUAAAGAGAGCUUCUGUUGAAUUUGGCAGAGUCUACCUUGGUCCCUGUGCCUAACCUUGUUCUUUCAAGUCUCCACUGCAACAGCUCCAUCUUCACAGUGCAGACUCAGAGAGGUACAUGAGAAAAAAAAAAAGAAUAUAUAUAUGGGAGACUCACAAGCCAGGUAUGAUGGCACUCCUGCAAUCCGAGAAGUGAGGAGGUAGAGGCAGGAGAAUUAGAAGUUCCUGGUCAGCUUUGGCUACACGAGACCCUGUCUCAAAAAUUAAAAAGAGUAACAAACACUACCCUCUUGGUUUGAUGAAGUCACUGCUUAGCACAAAAGAAAAGAAAAUCUAUAUAUUUUUUAAACAGAAAUAUUAUUAAUGUUGAUCUUAACAUAGAUAUAUAUAUAUACCCUACAAGAUAUAACCUGCUUUUUAGGUGGGUUGUGUUAAAAACAUAAAAAAAUAUAAAAAUGUACUCAAGAUCAUCUGUUUGGGGACCCACAAUCAAUUACUGCCAACCAAACCUUUUCCCUGCACUACAGCAGAACCCAUGACCCUGAUUUAGUCGUGAUAUUGCACCCCGUAAAUAUGUACAGUAACCAUGCCAAUCAAAAGAAAUAAAACAAUUUUUAGAAUUUUUAAGUGAAUAUAUUUUGGAAAGAUCAAAAUAUAUCGGAAUGCCAUUUUUGUGAAGGAUCUUUUUAGGGGCGGUCUGGGUCUCACACGGUCUUCGAUUGCCUGCAUUCUAGAGCAGCAUCUUAGCCCCUGUCUUCACCACGCCAGACUCCAGGGGGUGCACUUUAAAGUCAUCUUCGUCAUUCUGUGUUUGUUGUGAGCAGUUUUCUCUGGCUGGCUGGACAUACAGCAACUCCGUGUCAUUUACUCUGUGACUCUGUCUGUACAUAACUGGAAUUCAGAGGGCACCUGUACAUAGGCUGUUUGGAGUGGUGUUUGGGUCACGUGCUUGGGUCACGUGGUCUCGCUCUGACAAAGGGUUUUCUUUCAUGUUCCACUGUCUGCAUCCCUGUGCUUGUACUACUGAUAACCAACAUACUGAAUAUACUUUAUGUAACUAAGUCUCCUCCGUGUAAAAGUAACAAUAAUAAAACAAUUGACUUCAAAAAGAGUGUGGGGUUUUUGUUGGGGGGGGGUAUCUUUACCUGCAUUAAGUCUCAACACUCAGCAUCUCAUAAAAUAAACACCAGUAGGGUAGGAGUUUCACAGUAGGGACCAGAAGGGGGCGUGUGGCAACAAUGUUAUUGUUGCUUGUAUCUUUUACCUCUUGAAUGUUUGCUGGUCUCAUUGGAGCUUUUACCUGUCAGUGAUCAUUUGUUCACUAAGAAAUCUCUGCCUAAAGUUUGGAGCAGAGACAUGUGGUCCAUAUAUACACAGCCACCAAAACUAGAUAAGAUUGAUGAAGGUGAGAAGGGC